rnacentral:rRNA from 1 species
UACAUAGGGUGCAAGCGUUGUCCGGAAUUAUUGGGCGUAAAGAGCUCGUAGGUGGUUUGAUACGUCGGAUGUGAAAUUCAGGGGCUCAACCCCUGACCUGCAUUCGAUACGGUCAAGCUAGAGUUUGGUAGGGGAGACUGGAAUUCCUGGUGUAGCGGUGGAAUGCGCAGAUAUCAGGAGGAACACCGAUGGCGAAGGCAGGUCUCUGGGCCAAUACUGACACUGAGGAGCGAAAGCGUGGGGAG